rnacentral:tRNA from 1 species
GGUAAAAUGGCUGAAGCGCAGGCGAUAGAUUGUAAAUUUAUAGAUGAAUUAAAUUUCUUUUACCA